rnacentral:ncRNA from 1 species
AUAGCGAUGUAGGAUAUGAAGUAAGUUGUAGGCAAAGAGUCGGCUUGACGAGCAGAAGCUAAAUUAGGCUUGUGUGUGAGUGUAAGUUUUCAGAAUAAAACUGAGCCCUAUAAUUAUUCAGAAUCACGUGAAGUAAAUUUAGCGAGUGUAAGACUGAAAGAAAU